rnacentral:lncRNA from 1 species
AUGAUGAACAAAGAAGGUAGAAAGGAGUUGGCAGUAUCUCCGCUUCUGCCUGUUGUGUCCUCGCAGGAAAUACACCCGGCGUGCUCUGACCUUCCUCUCUUCCAGCCCAGUUUGGAGCAUCUCAGAGAAGGAAGAUUUCCCUCCCUCGUUUGGAGUGUGUGGGGAAAGUCACUCAGUUUUUUAAAAGAACACAGCAUAGAAUUCGGAACAUAAUAAACACUGUGCUUUCUGAAAGUAAAUUAUUUUUGUCUUGCUUGUGGCUAUUUGGUGUCUUUGAGAAGCUGACUGUUGUUAGGUGUAUGUGAGGGGCAAGAGCUCUAAGACUGUAAAAAUGGGGGCUUGGUAUUGAGUUCUAGUCAGCUCCAGACUACGCUGCUGAUAAAGGGGGCACAGAGGAAUUCAGAGUCUAGUGCAGAAGGAAGACCACACAGCUUCUUCUCCAGGUCUCUCCACUUCAAUCCAGUGAUAGUAUCUUCUAGUGAUAUAAUUUGUACAUGUAUUAUCUUUGUAGCUACAAGGAGUGUAAAUAUAGGAAGAGUAUUUGCUAUGUUAAAACUUUUGUACGCUCUUUUGGGCAGCUAAGGAAUACAAUGUCUGUUUUGACAUUGUACAAACAAACAGUUUUGAGUAGUUGAAGUAAGUACCCAUCCAACAUCGUGACUGACUCAUCGCAGAGAUCAACACGUUUUAAGAAAGCAAUUCUACUUGUUUUUUGAUCUUUCAGUAGAUGAGAAUGUUAUCUUUUUUUCUACCUCUCUGAAGAUUGCAUUGAAAUAGAUUUAUCCAUUGUGAAACAUGAAAGAUUUAGAAUAGAUGCAGGUAAUAGGGAAAAUAAGUAUCUUUCUUGUGGAAUCUGACCCUGAAUCUAGGGUAUGUUUUAGUACUUCCUAUUUUCUUUGGAUUUUGAUUGCCUGAAGUGAUUAGCCCCGAGUUUGCCUCCAGAUGUUAGCAGGCCCUCUUACAGGAAUGAGGCUAGGCAUCAAAUACACGUGUAGAAGCAGCUCUAGAUUUACUUACAUUUUUGUAGCUAUGUUUUUUUUCAUGCAGAUUCUUACGUAUGAGCUAAGCUCGUAGGAAUCCUCCGCGUAUACAAAUAAAAGCUUUGGAUUUGGAAUGUAGCA